rnacentral:misc_RNA from 1 species
CGGUUAAGGAUUCUUAAUUUAUUGAAAAAAGAAAAAAAUUUGAAACAUCAUAAAUUAGAAAUAACAGGUGCAAUGCCUUAAACUCAAGGGCCAGAUUCCAGUAACAAAAUAACAGUCUAUCAUAAUGUUUAGCCCACCACCACUCACAGAGGAAACAUUUGUCAUCAUCAUAACAAUUUGCCACUCACAUGCUUGUCUUACGUAAAUGUAGUAAACAUCCAAAUAUAGCCUUCAAGGGAAGAACCCUUCUUCACUCUUUUUUUUCAGUCUCUGGCUCAGAGGGCUAUCAUGGUUAAGACGUGCCCUUGUUGCUUGGUUUGCCCGAGGGCGGCUUGCUGCGCCUCCCAUUUGUUGCCCACUUUUGGCCAUUUGAGGUACCAUCGCUUCUGCCUUUACCUCGCCCCUGAUGCGCGCCUCUUUCAUUAUUGUGACUAGAAUUGAACUGUUUUUUUGAGUUUGGGGUUUCUGUUUCACUCAUUACAUAUUUCAAUGCCUCAAUGCCAUAACCCAGGAUUUUUAAAACUGUAUCCAUAUUGCUUGCUGCGGGUGCUGGGUCCACAGUUUCAUGUUGAAUUGUACGAGGACCCAACACAGCAUCUAUAGUUCUCUGUGCCAUAGCAUUUCCAGCGCCAUAAGCCAUGCCUGUAGAAAGCCAGAAAACAAAUAAAAGGUUCAGAGUUCUUCCUUGAUCCAAAUCAAAUAUAGCGAUACCAGGCAACAAAUAUAUAGUAAUUUCCAACCCAAACACACAUUCUCUUUUUCACAAACCCUGAACUAUGUUUCCAAGCAAUGAUCCACCACUACCACUACUCUGGACAGGGGCUAGAGGAGGAGCACGGUUAACUGCAUCAAAACAUGAAAACAGCAUCAAACUACAGCUGAACAAGAUACUUAGCCAGAAUCAAAGAAAAUAUAUCAAAAUAAAACCAAAAGGCUACAUGUUUUACAAUCUUAAAAUUCUUGCUGAAGCCUGCAAGAUAAUUUAAACAA